UCCCCUCACGUUCAUCCCCUAUUUUUCUCAUUGGUCAAGAUUUGCUGCAAUGCAGAUGUUUCCCUUCUUGGUCCCUGUUAGUCCCAUGUUCCCUCCUUCCUUCCCUGAUUGGUUAUGACCUCUGUCAGUCCCAUGCUCCUCCCCUCUUUCUAGAUCCUUCCCUGCCCAGCCUAUAAAUAGAGUGAACUACCCUUAAUUAAUGGUGAUAGCUGCUUGAAGCUACCACUGUCCUCGAACCCCCUCAGCUGUCUCAUGAUCUUUUCCUGAUCGACCGCGGCACCCCAGUUCCUCGAACAUCCCUGUGCCGGGCACGUAACUCGCUGGGCAGCCCCUGCCCAAAGCAGCCGGGGAGCAGGGACAGCAACUUUAUUGAAGGAGGCCAUUAGAUUUUAUUUCUGACCUCAUUUUAUAUCCUAUGCAGGAUGGGUCUUCAUCAGUCAGAAUGGCAGCUUAGCCUUCCCUGGAUCUUCCUACUGUGACAGGACUGCUGAAAGGUCAACACGAGAGAUUGUGGUGAAAGGAAAGCAUGUGAAGUAGCUUUUCCCUUCUUCAGGCUACUUCAUAUAAAGACAUAGACUUCUGGUUGCAGCUUCACAUAUGGAGUGGAUUAGAAGUGCUGGUAAACUACACCGUCAGGAUGGAGGUUGUGUGUUAGAUACCCAAGAAAGCAAAAGGAAACACCGAAGGUCUGAAAGAGAAUCAAGUGAAUAUUCUGACAGCAAAUCAACUUCAUAAAUGGAGAGGCAAAGAAACUCUAGGCAAUGAGGAAGACAUCCUAUAGGACAAGAUGUCCAAGAAGGUUAAAACUAAGAGUGUGAAGAGACAUGUUUGGCUUUUAACAGAUCAACAGGAAGGAAGUCUCAUAGAAAAAGGCCAUCCCCAUGUGCCAAAAUGUAAGCUUCUUUCAGU